rnacentral:tRNA from 1 species
AUUCAUUACUCAAUUGGUAAAGCAUGAGUUUCUUAAUUUCAAGGAUGUGGGUUCGAGCCCCACGUUGGGCACCA